GGCUCAGAACGAACGCUGGCGGCGUGCCUAACACAUGCAAGUCGAGCGAGAAAGCCCGCAAGGGUGAGUAAAGCGGCGCACGGGUGCGUAACACGUGGGUAAUCUUCCUUGGAGCCCGGAAUAACUCCCCGAAAGGGGUGCUAAUGCCGGAUGAGACCACGGGAUCCCCGGAUCCUGAGGGAAAAGGCGGCCUCUGUACACAAGCUGUCACUCCAAGAUGAGCCCGCGGCCCAUCAGCUAGUUGGCGGGGUAAUGGCCCACCAAGGCUACGACGGGUAGCUGGUCUGAGAGGACGAUCAGCCACACUGGAACUGAGACACGGUCCAGACUCCUACGGGAGGCAGCAGUGGGGAAUCUUGCGCAAUGGGCGAAAGCCUGACGCAGCAACGCCGCGUGUGUGAUGAAGGUCUUCGGAUCGUAAAGCACUGUCGGGAGGGACGAAUAAGGCGGCGGCUAACAUCCGCAGCCGAUGACGGUACCUCCAAAGGAAGCACCGGCUAACUCUGUGCCAGCAGCCGCGGUAAUACAGAGGGUGCUAGCGUUGUUCGGAAUUAUUGGGCGUAAAGCGCGUGUAGGCGGCCUUGCAAGUUGGGUGUGAAAGCCCUCGGCUUAACCGAGGAAGUGCGCCCAAAACUACAGGGCUUGAGUACCGGAGAGGGUGGCGGAAUUCCCGGUGUAGAGGUGAAAUUCGUAGAUAUCGGGAGGAACACCAGUGGCGAAGGCGGCCACCUGGACGGAUACUGACGCUGAGACGCGAAAGCGUGGGUAGCAAACAGGAUUAGAUACCCUGGUAGUCCACGCUGUAAACGAUGAGCGCUAGGUGUUGUGGGUGUUGACCCCCGCAGUGCCGCAGCUAACGCAUUAAGCGCUCCGCCUGGGAAGUACG
rnacentral:rRNA from 1 species